UACAGCGGGGGCAAGCGUUGUUCGGAAUUACUGGGCGUAAAGGGCGCGUAGGCGGCCUUCUAAGUCGAACGUGAAAUCCCUGGGCUCAACCCAGGAACUGCGUCCGAUACUGGAAGGCUUGAAUCCGGGAGAGGGAUGCGGAAUUCCAGGUGUAGCGGUGAAAUGCGUAGAUAUCUGGAGGAAUACCGGUGGCGAAGGCGGCAUCCUGGACCGACAUUGACGCUGAUGAGCGAAAGCUAGGGGAGCAAACGGG
rnacentral:rRNA from 1 species